rnacentral:rRNA from 1 species
AGUGAACGCUGGCGGUAGGCCUAACACAUGCAAGUCGAACGGCAGCACAGUAAGAGCUUGCUCUUACGGGUGGCGAGUGGCGGACGGGUGAGGAAUACAUCGGAAUCUACUUUUUCGUGGGGGAUAACGUAGGGAAACUUACGCUAAUACCGCAUACGACCUACGGGUGAAAGCAGGGGAUCUUCGGACCUUGCGCGAUUGAAUGAGCCGAUGUCGGAUUAGCUAGUUGGCGGGGUAAAGGCCCACCAAGGCGACGAUCCGUAGCUGGUCUGAGAGGAUGAUCAGCCACACUGGAACUGAGACACGGUCCAGACUCCUACGGGAGGCAGCAGUGGGGAAUAUGGGACAAUGGGCGCAAGCCUGAUCCAGCCAGACCGCGUGGGUGAAGAAGGCCUUCGGGUUGUAAAGCCCUUUUGUUGGGAAAGAAAAGCAGCAGGUUAAUACCCCGCUGUUCUGACGGUACCCAAAGAAUAAGCACCGGCUAACUUCGU